rnacentral:rRNA from 1 species
GACGAACGCUGGCGGCGUGCUUAACACAUGCAAGUCGAACGGAAAGGCCCUGCUUUUGUGGGGUGCUCGAGUGGCGAACGGGUGAGUAACACGUGAGUAACCUGCCCUUGACUUUGGGAUAACUUCAGGAAACUGGGGCUAAUACCGGAUAGGAGCUCCUGCUGCAUGGUGGGGGUUGGAAAGUUUCGGCGGUUGGGGAUGGACUCGCGGCUUAUCAGCUUGUUGGUGUGGUAGUGGCUUACCAAGGCUUUGACGGGUAGCCGGCCUGAGAGGGUGACCGGCCACAUUGGGACUGAGAUACGGCCCAGACUCCUACGGGAGGCAGCAGUGGGGAAUAUUGCACAAUGGGCUGAAGCCUGAUGCAGCAACGCCGCGUGCGGGAUGACGGCCUUCGGGUUGUAAACCGCUUUCGCCUGUGACGAAGCGUGAGUGACGGUAAUGGGUAAAGAAGCACCGGCUAACUACGUG